rnacentral:rRNA from 1 species
GAUGAACGCUAGCGACAGGCCUAACACAUGCAAGUCGAGGGGCAGCACAGAGGUAGCUUGCUACUUUGGGUGGCGACCGGCGCACGGGUGCGUAACAGGUGUGCAAUCUGUCCAUAAUCGGGGAAUAGCCCAGCGAAAGUUGGAUUAAUGCUCCAUGUGAGUAAUAGAGGCAUCUCUUUAUUUGAAACGUAAGGAUUAUGGGUGAGCACGCUUCUGAUUAGGUAGUUGGUGAGGUAACGGCUCACCAAGCCGACGAUCAGUAGGGGUUCUGAGAGGAAGGUCCCCCACAUUGGAACUGAGACACGGUCCAAACUCCUACGGGAGGCAGCAGUGAGGAAUAUUGGUCAAUGGACGGAAGUCUGAACCAGCCAAGUCGCGUGAAGGAUGAAGGUUCUAUGGAUUGUAAACUCUUUUGUCUGAGGGUAAAAAAAGGACC